rnacentral:rRNA from 1 species
GACGAACGCUGGCGGCGUGCUUAACACAUGCAAGUCGAACGGAAAGGCCCUGCUUUUGUGGGGUUCUCGAGUGGCGAACGGGUGAGUAACACGUGAGUAACCUGCCCUUGACUUUGGGAUAACUUCAGGAAACUGGGGCUAAUACCGGAUAGGAGCUCCUGCUGCAUGGUGGGGGUUGGAAAGUUUCGGCGGUUGGGGAUGGACUCGCGGCUUAUCAGCUUGUUGGUGGGGUAGUGGCUUACCAAGGCUUUGACGGGUAGCCGGCCUGAGAGGGUGACCGGCCACCUUGGGACUGAGAUACGGCCCAGACUCCUACGGGAGGCAGCAGUGGGGAAUAUUGCACAAUGGGCGGAAGCCUGAUGCAGCAACGCCGCGUGCGGGAUGCCGGCCUUCGGGUUGUAAACCGCUUUCGCCUGUGACGAAGCGUGAGUGACGGUAAUGGGUAAAGAAGCACCGGCUAACUACGUG